CUCCAACCCCACAGGAACUGGGCAUGAUGGUCCGUGCCUGCCAUCCCAGCACUCUGGAGGCAGAAGGAGGACUAGAAGCUCAAGGAUUCUUCUAGAAAGAAGAAUUGCACCUCAAAUUGAUAUUUUUAGUUAUAACAAGAUAUCCAGGAUAGGUGGACACAAAGGAGUCAGAAAGUGAGGCGAUCCGGUGAGCAUACUCAGUGGCAAAGAGAAGAGCCAAGUUGGCAGGCUGACCUCGAAAGACAAUGGACUUAGGAAGGAUGCUGGGAUCAAAGGCAUGCCUGGUUCUUUCUGAGAUGCAGAAAUCCCUGCCUGCUGUUGGACAAAGCCAUUUCUCGGGAACCACGAGGCCUGAGCACACGAGGGACUGAGUCCAGCACGGCUGUUUCUGAAAGUCAUGAGCACGUUCCCAGAAGCCUGAACUUGGCUUCAAGUCUACCCCUCAGGAAGGCUGUCUCUUACAGGAUGCUGUCUACUGGGAGGCUUCUAAUUAAACCACUUUGGAUGUCAUCCAAGGAAUGCCUGCCUCAACCAGCACUUGGCACUGUCAUGCUAUCUUGUGGAGUCCGCUGGGGCCUGAAAACUUUAUUCUUCCACUGAAUCACUGCUAUGUUGAAGGCCCAGGUAAACUGUUGCCUGAAGUCUACUUCCUGAGUAUUUCUUGGAGUCACAGAUAAGAAACCCAGCCACUAACCAGAUCCCCUGAGUAUCCCCCCGAGGCUGUUCCAGUGACCUGGCAUCUGUGGUGCGAAGGCAAGAUGACCAAUAAAUAAAUGUCACAAACCAAAGGAAGAGGGUUCCCAGACCACACAAGGGCCACAGCACCCUAAAAUAUGACUCACAGUUAAGACAGCAUCUCGCAAACUUGACUACGCAGGAGGCUGAGAUGGUUCACUGAAAUCAGUGCCCAGACACACUUCUCCUGAAGGUACCUGGCCAUGUGUCUCAGGAGCUCCAGCCUCCUCUCAGCCCUCUCCCACCCAGCUGCAGCUCGCCUGAGAAAAGCUUUUCUGGCAUCUCUGUCCUUGACUUUUUCCAGCGCGUUUGUUCCUGUCUUCACUGGCUGGCUCCAACUAUGCUCUGGAGAGGCCAGACCCUCAGAGACACCAGGACUGAGGGAAGCUGUCUCUUUACUCCAGAAGAAUGAUUUUGCGUGCUUGCAAAGGCUAGAAGACUCUGUGCUGCUUCUCUGUGGAGAGGACAUGUGGUCCUGAGAAAAUGUCCCCAGGUUAGAUGAUUUCCAUAAUUAUGCUUCCCAAACCCUUCCCAGCACAUUCAGCUGACAGCUCUUUCGGCCCUGCCAAAUGUACUUGCUCUGAUCCCCGCUCUUACAGCCCUCAACCCCCUCCCCGCUUUUACAAACACAUACAAACACUCAUGCUCACACUUCACAAUAAGCAAAUGGUUAAAAAAAAAAACCCAACUCCCUCUUUCUUUUUCAUGAAGCAGAUGGUAGGUCUCAGGAACUUGGUGGAAAUUAGGCUUUCUGAUUUUCUAAUAAAUUUUAGCAUCUCGCACAAGGAGCACGAGCUCCUUUUCAUUCUGAUGUUAAGUACCAUAUGGCCCAUCAUCCAAGGAACGUGGCAGCUUCAUACCCAGAGUAAUGUGGAAGGGAGGAGCGUCCCUAUGAGGCCAGGGUGUGUAAACCAAUCGGAUUCCAGGGUGAAUGCCUUUUGAUAAUAAUAUUGUAUAUGGCAGAGGACUAAUUAUCCCUCUUUUAUGGUAUGUGUUAAUUUUCUCUGCCAGUUUCCCUAAUUACAACUGCCACCCAAAGGACUACUCUUUGUAAAUACUCUGUAAACAUUUGAAAAGACACAGACAGCGUGUGCAUGAGGAAGGCUGUCCCUGGCUUUCGAAGCUGUCUGCAAGAUUAGCUGGCAUCUCGUAGGUUUUUCAGAUGCAUUAGCAGCUGGGGAGGACUUGUUACUGUAUGGGAAGACACCCCUCCGUUCCCAUGACAUCAUGGGCUUCCCUGUAUAUUCUGGGAUCAUUGUUUUGAGAGACCAGUUUUUUGGCUUUUUUGGGGGGGGUUGAGGGGGUUUUAUUAUUUUGUUUUGUUGUUUUAUUGUUUUGUUUGUUUGUUUGUGGCUGCCUUUGUUGCUCUGAAGUGAACAGUCUCACAAAUUACGGCAAACACGGGGCCCAGCAAACACAGGAGUGGAUGUUCACAGUCAGCUAUUGGAUGUAUCACAGGGCUCC